rnacentral:piRNA from 1 species
CAGAUGGAGAUCAACCAGUAC